UACGUAGGGACCGAGCGUUAUCCGGAAUGAUUGGGCGUAAAGCGUCCGCAGGUGGCAAUGUAAGUCUGCUGUCAAAGCGUCUGGCUCAACCAGAUAAAGGCAGUGGAAACUACAUAGCUAGAGUAAGGUAGGGGUAGAGGGAAUUCCUGGUGUAGCGGUGAAAUGCGUAGAGAUCAGGAAGAACACCGGUGGCGAAAGCGCUCUGCUGGACCUUAACUGACACUGAGGGACGAAAGCUAGGGGAGCGAAUGGG
rnacentral:rRNA from 1 species